UUCACGUGACGUCACAUUGCUGCUUCGCGAAAGCGCGAAACUCAGAUGGAGGGCAGGAAGUGAAGUAGCUUCAUCUGCCGUAUGUUAAAAUGCCUAUGUUUUGUGUAAUUUACGGCUGUUCCAAUCGUUCUAACCGAGAAAAAGGAAAGGGGGUUUAUAGAGUUCCAAAGAUUGUCGUUCAUAAAGGUGAAAAAUGUAAAAAUCUCACAAAACAACGACGGAAAAAAGUGGAUUUUAAGCGUACGUCUGCCGCCGGGAGGAGCAAACUCGGCUAAUGCCCGCAGCGAUCACUUGGUCGGAGGCAUGUCUGCCACGAGAGCAGAUGAAGAUGUUUAAGAAAUACCAACAAACACGGUCGGAAUGUACAGAGGCUAUUGGAUCUCCAAUAGACAGCUGAGAGCCUGGAUCUGACGCAGACAGCCGAGAGCUCCGAACCGAAGCAGCCAGCUGACAACUACUCACAAUCGGAGGGCAUCAGUGGGAAUGGGACAUUAAAUGAUCAAGGCUAUGCAGAUGCCGGAUGCCAGACUGAGCUGAUGAUGGAUGACAUUGAGAAGAUGAAGCAUGUUCUGAGACAUAACACAACAGAACUGAGAGAUCUUUGGACCAAACCACUAAGAUGACAAAGUUCUAGACAGGGCUCCCCAACUUCUUAGUUUUAAUUCAGAUUUUUUUAGCUGUGCAAACCCUACAUCACAUGUGGUCCUAUGUCUGUGCUGUCUAAAUUUGAAUAGUUCAUUUUAGUUUGCUAAAUAAAUGUAAGAGCUGUCCAAAUUGAAAACGACCUUCACUGACAUCUUAAAACACAUCAGUGCCCUUUGUUUUGCUUUAAAAUGCACACAAGUAAUGUUUUUAGUAAGGCAUGUUUGUUAAAACUAGUUAUAUUUCAUAAUUAAACUAAGGCCUAGUCCUGGCUGAAAGAUUUAGCUUGAAGAUUUAUAAAUGCCUGUUAUUUGCUGUGUCUUGUCUAAUCUUUUGGAGUCUGUCAUCACAUUAGAGUAAUGAGGAGGGAGGGUCAUCAGUCACAUCAUGUGUUUUCAAAUGUAAUAUUUUUCUCCCCUAAUCUAAUUGUACUGGCAAUAUGUAUUAUAUGAAAUGAAAUGGAUGCCAAUGUAUUAUUGCACACCAUGUUCUUGUAGUUAGUAUAACAAUUGUUUAAAAAAUCUUGUAAAUAAACCAAUGGCAUUUAAUCACAACAAUAUUCAAAAUGUCAUCUUGUCUCAUACGACACUAUUGAUAUAACAGAAAUAUAUUACACAGCCUACUUUAAAGAGUGCUUGGAGUUCAUAUCCUUUCAUCACAUUACACAUGUAAGUUUGUAACUUGCUGUCGCGGUAUUUCUGGAAGUAUACAGUUUCUAAAAAAACAUUCAACAUUAGGAACCACACACCAUCCCAAAGUUUAAGAUCUGGCAAAAAAAAUACUUUCAACAAAAACUCCAUUACAGUAGUAGUCAAGACUUUGGUGACAUUAUCCCCAUCGAUACGAUGUCGUUGAUAAUCGGUGAUGUCAACAGCCUUGACUGUCGGUAAAUCUUUCAGUUCUACCGAAAACUCACUCAUCUUCAUGAGGUAAGGGUCACGUCUAACAUAUGUUAAUAAACUCCUUGUAUCUAUGUCUUGAAACUGGAUCUAAUUCUGUACAAUACGGACUCUCUGCAACGGUUCCCUCCAUUAGACGUAUUCAGAUUUUUACUUCCUGCCCUCCAUCUGCCCUUAGACCCGCCCUCGCGCGUCAUCAAAAUCACGUGACUGAAACCCUGC